rnacentral:rRNA from 1 species
CCUACGGGAGGCAGCAGUGAGGAAUAUUGGUCAAUGGACGAGAGUCUGAACCAGCCAAGUAGCGUGAAGGAUGACUGCCCUAUGGGUUGUAAACUUCUUUUAUAUGGGAAUAAAACGUUCCAAGUGUGGGAUUUUGUAUGUACCAUAUGAAUAAGGAUCGGCUCACUCCGUGCCAGCAGCCGCGGUAAUACGGAGGAUCCGAGCGUUAUCCGGAUUUAUUGGGUUUAGAGGGAGCGUAGGUGGAUUGUUAAGUCAGUUGUGAAAGUUAGGGGCUCAACCGUAAAAUUGCAGUUGAAACUGGCAGUCUUGAGGACAGUAGAGGUGGGCGGAAUUCGUGGUGUAGCGGUGAAAUGCUUAGAUAUCACGAAGAACUCCGAUUGCGAAGGCAGUUCACUGGACUGCAACUGACACUGAGGCUCGAAAGUGUGGGUAUCAAACAGGAUUAGAUACCCGAGUAGUC